CAAAGUGGUUUUGCCACUCAAAGAAAAAUGAUGACCGAUGAACAAUAAUCUACUGAAAGAGAAAAGCGUGUUGUUGGAAAAAUAAAUCGUCGAUAAAACAUGACGGAUGAGGUGAAGUUUCUACAAAAUAGCCUAGGCGAAAUCAGUAUAGAGCUAGGCAGGCAGGCAACAAAACGUGGAAAACAGAAAUCAUGAAAGACUAAGAUGAGUAAGGUCCAGCUUUAAUGUACGGUCAAUUGGAGAAUGCUUAAUCUAAUCAUAGAUUGUAGAGGAAGAACAAGAAGGUGAACAUGAUGAGCAUCAUUGCGUAACAGGGGGUUUCAUCAAUCUGCAAGGAAUUUUUCCGACUUAAAGAGUUGAAGUUUUGAUGGUAUUGUAGUAUGUCAUACUUUUGCGUAAAAAGAAAAUACGUACGAAAAAGCUAGCGUUUGCCGACGUGCAACACACGUGCACUCUACUUGUACUUUUAAGAGAAUCAACUAAACAGUAAAAUUCAAUCUUAAUAAAAAGUAUAUCAAAGAUUUAUAUCUCAA